UACGGGGGGGGCAAGCGUUGUUCGGAAUUACUGGGCGUAAAGGGUGCGUAGGUGGGUUCUUAAGUCAGAGGUGAAAGGCUACGGCUCAACCGUAGUAAGCCUUUGAAACUGGGAAACUUGAGUGCAGGAGAGGAGAGUGGAAUUCCUAGUGUAGCGGUGAAAUGCGUAGAUAUUAGGAGGAACACCAGUUGCGAAGGCGGCUCUCUGGACUGUAACUGACACUGAGGCACGAAAGCGUGGGGAGCAAACAGG
rnacentral:rRNA from 1 species